AACCGGAUUAGAUACCCGGGUAGUCCAUGCCGUAAACGAUGAGUGCUAAGUGUUGGAGGGUUUCCGCCCUUCAGUGCUGCAGCUAACGCAUUAAGCACUCCGCCUGGGGAGUACGACCGCAAGGUUGAAACUCAAAGGAAUUGACGGGGGCCCGCACAAGCGGUGGAGCAUGUGGUUUAAUUCGAUGCUACGCGAAGAACCUUACCAGGUCUUGACAUCUUCUGCCAACCUAAGAGAUUAGGCGUUCCCUUCGGGGACAGAAUGACAGGUGGUGCAUGGUUGUCGUCAGCUCGUGUCGUGAGAUGUUGGGUUAAGUCCCGCAACGAGCGCAACCCUUAUUGUUAGUUGCCAGCAUUCAGUUGGGCACUCUAGCAAGACUGCCGGUGACAAACCGGAGGAAGGUGGGGAUGACGUCAAAUCAUCAUGCCCCUUAUGACCUGGGCUACACACGUGCUACAAUGGACGGUACAACGAGUCGCGAAACCGCGAGGUCAAGCUAAUCUCUUAAAGCCGUUCUCAGUUCGGAUUGUAGGCUGCAACUCGCCUACAUGAAGUUGGAAUCGCUAGUAAUCGUGGAUCAGCAUGCCACGGUGAAUACGUUCCCGGGCCUUGUACACACCGCCCGUCACACCAUGAGAGUUUGUAACACCCAAAGCCGGUGAGGUAACCUUCGGGGACCAGCCGUCUAAGGUGGGACAGAUGAUUAGGGUGAAGUCGUAACAAGGUAACC
rnacentral:rRNA from 1 species